UGAAGUUGCUUUCAAAAACAUACUAUUUCGGAAAACUUCAUAACAUAUGUUUUUUCUUCUGUAGUUUGCAAAGAAUCAGAUUGAAUUUCACAUGUUUCAGCAUCGACAUUUACAUUACAAGUGCUUUUUCUGUCCAAAGGAAGAGAAGCUUCUCUUGCAUCAAUCUCCAAUCUCCAAUCAGAUUGUAGUUUCUGCGCUCCCCUUCCACAAGCACUCAAGCUUUCAUCUACCUUUACUUGUACUAUUACACGAGCUUAAGUUCCCACUUCCUUCUCAAUUGCAUUUCCAGAAUCAGUUGCAGAAGAACGAAAAGCAAUUUGAAAGCACAACAUGAAUGGGGUGGGAUCUCGAGCGGAGAGAGCAAAAUUCAUUCGAUUUUCCAUUUGCUCCUGUGGUCUAUGAACUCAUUAGUAGUUCUUUAUCUUCUUCCAGGGAUUGAUUGAAGUUGAAGUAGAACAAGUGUUGAAUUCCAUAAGGGAGCAAAUACUGGAUUGGGACGACAAAGUGAAGACUACUGCUAGAUAUAAGGCUUUCAGCGGUCAAAGGCUGUGGGCAUCGUUUUCAUUGGUAGUAUCUUCUGUUUUAUGCAGCUUGGCUAGAGAUUCUUUGAGAAUUGAAGAAUGCCAUGAAUACCUCUUGUUGCUUGGGAAACAAUUUUGUAUACAGAUCAGAACCAGUCGAGAAUAACGGAUUAGCGGAGGUGAUUAGAGUUUCCAAGGAUGUAUAUUGAGCUAAGCACGUGGGAAUUUGUAGUUUUGUAUUAGAAUUUUGGAUAAAUGUAAAUUAGAUUUGGUUGUAUUGGUUAUGUUGGACUUGUAGAGAAUUGUAUGAUUAUCUUGUGUUUUAGUUAUAUGUUUGUUUUAAGAUUUAGCUGAAUUAGUUACGUUAAGGAGCUGGUGACCCAUUUGCUCAAGUUUUGGAAGUGUGAUUUCAGUUUCUUGGUAAAUAAACCCCAUGAUGACCCUGUUUACUCAGUCAAUGGUAAGUCGGAUUGUUACACUCUCAUCCUUCACAUGUCAAACAUUACAUUACCAAUAGUACCAUGUACUAUUGAUUCCCAUUCAACCAAUCACCAAAGUGUGGUACAUUGUCCUCUUAUAUCUUACACUAACUAAAAUGAUUAAUUACCAU